GCCCUUGUAGUAUAUUUAUUACCCCGGCCUUGUAAGCCAGAAAAUGGAGUAUUGCUUCCCCAGGGCA
rnacentral:tRNA from 1 species